UACAGUAGCUGUACGCAGUCUACCAAACAACCGGGGAAGUUAAGUUCGCGAGAUGUCCCGGAUAAUCUGAACAUCUGUAGGGCGUAUCGACAGCUUGCAUGACAACUUCGAAUCAUCCGCGCACAGUCUAAGAGAUCUAGAUACGCUUGCAGGAAGCCGAGCAAAACGGUCAACUAUGACGUUCGUCCGCCGGUAGCUUCGACUAUUUGUAUUUCGCCCAACAUAUAGAGCGGAGCGAAUCCAGCCUACUUGGUUCUUGGAUGUGCCUGCACUAUUGCUUUCUUCAGAACUUCUUGUCAAGGUGGAAUCUUCUCUUGUUUGGAGGUGCAGGACGAGGUCAAAGUGACGAUGAUUAUGGCGGUUUCCGGUCAUUUUGACUCGCGAUGUAGUCGUACAAGGUGAGUGUUAUUGGCAUUUGUUGUAAAGCAUGUGCAAGAUUGUCGUUAGCACAUACAUUUUGAUGAGGAAUCGGUUGCAUUGGGGCUUGCUGGGUAUGAGUUUUCGUGGGCUAAUAAUGCGGACUUUGUUAGGAGCGGUCAAAAGUAGAAGAGUUGCUUCGGUCGCGCGUGCACUUCCCUAAGCCGUCAGAUCCCGCCAGCACCAUGCAAACUACCGCCGUAUCAAGGCUAUCGAGAAGGACUCAUGACAGAUGGCAGCCAGAUUUGGGCGUGACUUGUGG